rnacentral:rRNA from 1 species
AGAGUUUGAUCAUGGCUCAGAUUGAACGCUGGCGGCAGGCCUAACACAUGCAAGUCGAGCGGUAGAGAGAAGCUUGCUUCUCUUGAGAGCGGCGGACGGGUGAGUAAUGCCUAGGAAUCUGCCUGGUAGUGGGGGAUAACGUUCGGAAACGGACGCUAAUACCGCAUACGUCCUACGGGAGAAAGCAGGGGACCUUCGGGCCUUGCGCUAUCAGAUGAGCCUAGGUCGGAUUAGCUAGUUGGUGAGGUAAUGGCUCACCAAGGCGACGAUCCGUAACUGGUCUGAGAGGAUGAUCAGUCACACUGGAACUGAGACACGGUCCAGACUCCUACGGGAGGCAGCAGUGGGGAAUAUUGGACAAUGGGCGAAAGCCUGAUCCAGCCAUGCCGCGUGUGUGAAGAAGGUCUUCGGAUUGUAAAGCACUUUAAGUGGGGAGGAAGGGCAGUUACCUAAUACGUGAUUGGUUUGACGUUACCGACAGAAUAAGCACCGGCUAACUCGUGCCAGCAGCCGCGGUAAUAC